ACGAACGCUGGCGGCGUGCUUAACACCUGCAAGUCGAACGGUGAAGCGCCUUCCUUUUUGGUGGGUGUGGAUGAGUGGCGAACGGGUGAGUAACACGUGAGUAACCUGCCCCCUUCUUCUGGAUAACCGCAUGAAAGUGUGGCUAAUACGGGAUAUUCUGGGUCUGUCGCAUGAUGGGUCUGGGAAAGAUAUUGUUUCGGUGGGGGAUGGGCUCGCGGCCUAUCAGCUUGUUGGUGGGGUGAUGGCCUACCAAGGCGGUGACGGGUAGCCGGCCUGAGAGGGUGGACGGUCACACUGGGACUGAGACACGGCCCAGACUCCGACGGGAGGCAGCAGUGGGGAAUAUUGCACAAUGGGCGCAAGCCUGAUGCAGCGACGCCGCGUGAGGGAUGGAGGCCUUCGGGUUGUGAACCUCUUUCGCCAGUGAAGCAGGCCUGCCUCGUUUGUGGGUGGGUUGACGGUAGCUGGAGAAGAAGCGCCGGCUAACUACGUG
rnacentral:rRNA from 1 species